AUUAACUUUUCUAGGGUCUGGAAGAGGCGAUAUGUUGGAUCAGAUUCAUCUGCUGGCUGCUGUGACAGUCCUGGGAGUCCUGGAGCAAGCCUACUUCUUCCUCCAGGUGAUCUAUGCCAGGAGAGCAUUUGGCAUUUCUCCUCCAAAGAUCUCAGGCCCACCUGAAUUUGAGAGGGUCUUUCGAGCACAGGUGAACUCCUCUGAGUAUUUUCCCAUUUUCCUGGCACUUUUGUGGCAGGCUGGACUCUUCUUCCAUCAAGGUCUGGCUGCAGCCUUGGGUCUGCUCUAUCUCUGCAGCCGCUAUUGUUACUUUAUGGGAUACAGGACAUCGUCCUCAGAAAGGCUUGCCCCGAUGUACUUCAGCGCUGGAGUUCUCUGGAUCCUCCUCGCAGCGGCAGCCCUGGGCAUCUCGCGUUUCUUCCUCUCUCACUACGUGGGACUGGACGUGCUCCAGCUUCUCACAGUGUGACCUGCUCCUCUGUCCCUCAGGGGUGUCCUCACCUUCAAGUCCUGCUCCCUUCUACCCACAGGAACAGACUGGCUGUAGCUAAUACAGCACCAGUGACAAAUCCACCCUCAUAAAAAUAAAGAGCAUUUAAAGCCACCGCUGUGCAGUACUGAGAAACUAGCACCCACCUCCUGCCCAUCUGACCAGAGACUACAAGGGAAUUCAAAUGCUAAUGUGGAGCCAGACUGCUCAAUGAGUCUUUAUUUCUGCAGCAGCUCCAGGAUCAGAGCUCUGGGGAAGCAGCCGGCUGGAGCUGUGAGAUUAGUCUGCAGACAGUACUAUGAGGACGCUUUCCUUUCCUCACUCCGUUCCUCAUCCCGAUUUUGUAACUCCUUGUCGUAGUUUUACUUCUUUACAUUCGAGGGACUUCAAGAGCAAGGAAAAAGAAAGGCACACUGGAGUUUUGUAACUGAAACAAGCUCGGUAGUGACCCAUUUUAUGUGCUGAGUCUGCGGAGGCCUCACUGUCAACCCAACAGUGUUUUGGGGAUUGCCUGUGCACACCGCGGUCGUUUUGGAUGAUGUGUUUGUCACUGCCAGAACUGAGGAUGUUGUGUGCAGUAGGAUCCAGAACUCUCUUGAUCUGAGUAAAUGUAUGGACACACACAUCUGCUGGGUAUGCAACAGAGCAAGAUCAGAGGAAGGAGGAGUGCUUUGAUUGGGGUGAAUUUGAGGGUGCGGGUGCAAGAGCACUACCCUCACAGGAGAGAUGCAGAUGGGCUGUGAAUGACCCAUGCCAUACCUGCAGUUUGAGAGCAGUGUGUUUGGUUUGAACACAACGACAUCGCACUAGAGAUGCAGCUGAGGUGUGUUUUAAACAGGCCUGUGAGAGCAGGACCAUUGCCUGCAGGCAAAUACUCUCUUUACAUUACCACAGUAAAAACCAUUGCUGGGUUAGAUAGUGAGGUGAAAUGCAAGCAAAACCAAAGCUAUCUGACACUUUUUAUGUUAGCAGGUCGAGACAGGGAGGCCAGGAAAAUCCGUGCUCUGAGGUUACAAGGUUCACCUUCAUCAGUUUUAUACCUCCAAGCAAAAAACACUUAUAAGAGAGCAGCAAGAAUUAAUCUUUCCCCUAGUGAGGGUGGAGCCACAAUAUGUACAAGGUGAACAGGGUUUAAUGUGCCCUUUUGUGAAUGCUCCCCCCUCCAAAUGAAAACUUAACACGUUUGCUGUGAUUGCUUAGGAAAGCCCAUGCCCUGCUCUAGCCCCUGGCUCUGUGUUUAGGGACUUCCAGGGUCUAAGAGCUAAAUGUAACAUUUUGGUAGGAAGAACAAAAGUAGGGUCAGCAUUCAGGAGGACUCAUAGAGCACGUUCAGACUGAGAAAAUAAAAGAGGAUCUGUGUUGCGUUGCUUUGACAUUGAACUACUUGAGAAGAGAAAGCUGGGUGACCCCAAACAGCUAUAGCAAUGUUACCUGCAAAGGGUGGAAGUCAAGGAUCAUGAUGUCAGCAAGGACGAAAACAGCGAGCAACCUGCAGUUGGUGAGCGCUUAAAAUAGGCUCCCUCUCAUCAACACGGGUGGCUAGAGUAACAAGAGCUCAGGCAUUGUGUAAUCUGCCUUGAUACAGAUACUGCAGCACACUCUUGGAAGAAUGGAUUUGGUCACCCCACUGUGAAGUAUUUACAGCUUUACAGCUCUUUCUGCUUAUGGGAGGGUGCAAGGAAAUGCAGACAAGGCUUGUGGCAAAGGAUGCCAAUGGACACUUGCCCACCCUUCUCCUGGCAGGUACACCGCUGAACUGCCAAAGAGCUGUAAAUGUUCUGCCUGAGUGAAGCAGAGCAGCUUGAUGAGCUCAGUACAGCACUGCAUGGCCAGAUGGCUUCUGGAUCAGAGCUGACUCAUGCCCACCUAGCUCAGAGUCAGGCUAAACAUGCAGAUACCUAAAAUAUGCUGGUAGAAGACACCUCGUCUGCUGCUGUGAUUGCAGUCACAGCAAGGGAGCUAGCUGUGUCGGUAAAAAGAAAAGGUGUUCUGCCAACUGCCAGCAUUACAAUGCUGCAAAACUGAAAUGGUAACAGGCCUGAGUUACACUAAUGAGCAUCACAGAGGUGAACUCCCAACUGAGCCCCGAGGGGGUGUGAUCACUGAGGAAACAGAACAGAGCCAAUCCUUCCAUUUCCUUUUGACAAAGGAUGGUGAGCAUAAGCUGUGGGUAAGCUGGUGGUACAAAGGGGUGGGUGACCCAUUCGAACUGGAGAGCAGUGGUCUCGAAGGAAGGACCUGGGUAUUUGCUUUUCACUACAGCAGUGCUGUCAGCCUCUCCAGUUGGUUUUCAGGUGGGCUUGGCUUCUUAGUGAACUACAUUUUAGGAAAGCUGGAAAUGUGAGCUCUGCAGAGUCUCUGCUGCAGACCACCAUGUUCAGAGUAAUGAACAAA